rnacentral:tRNA from 1 species
AGAGAAAGACGACUAAAGUUUCUUAAACUAUCUAAUCAUAUAGUUUAUUCUCAACGCUGUUAAUUAUAAUCAUAUAAAGUGGAGUCUCAUAGCUCAGCUGGUUAGAGCGCUACACUGAUAAUGUAGAGGUCGGCAGUUCAAGUCUGCCUGAGACUACUACGUUUAGUUUAUUACUAAAUAAAAUGAGGAUUUUAGUAGCUGAGAUUGAUUCUGAAAACUCAUUAUAUUGGGGGAUUAGCUCAGCUGGCUAGAGCGCUAGAUUUGCAUUCUAGAGGUCGUGGGUUCGACUCCCACAUUCUCCACAAUCAGCUUUUUGCUGAAAACGUUCUUUGACAUAUUGAAAAAAAUACAUGAAAUUAAAAAUUUCAAAUAAUCUAAAUUUAAUUAAUUAAUCAAUUGAGUUUACGAGCAAUAUAAUUUAUAACUCAUAAAAAUACAAAAGUUAC